rnacentral:rRNA from 1 species
AUGGGCGAAAGCCUGAUGCAGCAACGCCGCGUGAAGGAUGAAGGCCUUCGGGUUGUAAACUUCUGUUCUAAGGGAAGAAAGAAAUGACGGUACCUUAGGAGCAAGCCCCGGCUAACUACGUGCCAGCAGCCGCGGUAAUACGUAGGGGGCAAGCGUUAUCCGGAAUUAUUGGGCGUAAAGAGUGCGUAGGUGGUUACCUAAGCGCAAGGUUUAAUUUAGAGGCUCAACCUCUACUUGCCUUGCGAACUGGGCUACUUGAGUGCAGGAGGGGAAAGCGGAAUUCCUAGUGUAGCGGUGAAAUGCGUAGAUAUUAGGAGGAACACCAGCGGCGAAGGCGGCUUUCUGGACUGUAACUGACACUGAGGCACGAAAGCGUGGGUAGCAAACAGGAUUAGAUACCCUGGUAGUCCACGCCGUAAACGAUGAGCACUAGGUGUUGGGUCCGUUAGGACUCAGUGCCGCAGUUAACGCAUAAGUGCUCGCCUGGGAGUACGCUCGCA